CAGUCGCCGCGGGAAUACGUAGGGUGCAAGCGUUAAUCGGAAUUACUGGGCGUAAAGCGUGCGCAGGCGGUUAUAUAAGACAGAUGUGAAAUCCCCGGGCUCAACCUGGGAACUGCAUUUGUGACUGUAUAGCUAGAGUACGGCAGAGGGGGAUGGAAUUCCGCGUGUAGCAGUGAAAUGCGUAGAAAUGCGGACGAACACCGAUGGCGAAGGCAAUCCCCUGGGCCUGUACUGACGCUCAUGCACGAAAGCGUGGGGAGCAAACAGGAUUAGAUACCCGGGUAGUCCCUGUCUCUUAUAC
rnacentral:rRNA from 1 species